rnacentral:tRNA from 1 species
UCCGCAACUGGCCGACGGUGCGCCCGCGCUCGCCUUGCAGGCGGGCUACGGGCAGGCCCGUCUCCGCGUGCGCCCGUUCGAUGAGCGCGUCGCCGAG